AUAUAUGUCUUUCCAGUUCCACAUUGUCCAGUUAAUAGACAACUGUGUCCGUUUUCCACCAAAUGCUCCAUCUUGGCGUAUGCCGCGAAAUUUUCCGGAAUUUGCUAUCUCGGUUUCGAUUUUAUGUAUGCAUUCAGUGCGGAGUUGUAAUUCUGUGACGUCAGCUGAUGGCUAUCGAGCCUCGGGACGAAAUUUGAAGUUUGCGUGAAUUUUAGUUGAUAGCAUUAUCAAUGCGUUGGAAUUAAACUUUAGGAGGAAAUGUAUAGCGAGAUAUAUCAUAUUUGAACCCAAUGCUACACGCAGACCGGUAUCUCCUGACUAUUUACACAGUAAUUCCACCAGUCAUACCUGGGCAUUCUCCGCUGUGGCAGAACUCACUGGUAACUUCUACAUCAUGCUUGAAUGCGCAUGAUGCAACUUCCUGGAUGGUGCUGAGCCUGUUUGUCAACAUGUGGAACCCACGUGCAUUUGGGGGAGUUGUCUCCCUUGUU